UCAACAAAUAUUUUAUUAAAAUAUUAAUUUUGGGGAUUAAUGAUGUGAUUAUUUUCACUUUGUUGAA
rnacentral:tRNA from 1 species